rnacentral:rRNA from 1 species
GGGUUGUGAGGUUAAGCGACUAAGCGUACACGGUGGAUGCCCUGGCAGUCAGAGGCGAUGAAGGACGUGCUAAUCUGCGAAAAGCGUCGGUAAGGUGAUAUGAACCGUUAUAGCCGGCGAUGUCCGAAUGGGGAAACCCAGUGUGAUUCGUCACACUAUCGUUAACUGAAUACAUAGGUUAACGAGGCGAACCGGGGGAACUGAAACAUCUAAGUACCCCGAGGAAAAGAAAUCAACCGAGAUUCCCCCAGUAGCGGCGAGCGAACGGGGAGCAGCCCAGAGUCUGAAUCAGCUUGUGUGUUAGUGGAACGGUCUGGAAAGUCCGACGGUACAGGGUGAUAGUCCCGUACACCAAAAUGCACAGGCUGUGAACUCGAAGAGUAGGGCGGGACACGUGGUAUCCUGUCUGAAUAUGGGGGGACCAUCCUCCAAGGCUAAAUACUCCUGACUGACCGAUAGUGAACCAGUACCGUGAGGGAAAGGCGAAAAGAACCCCGGCGAGGGGAGUGAAAAAGAACCUGAAACCGUGUACGUACAAGCAGUGGGAGCACCUUCGGGUGUGACUGCGUACCUUUUGUAUAAUGGGUCAGCGACUUAUAUUCUGUAGCAAGGUUAACCGUAUAGGGGAGCCGCAGGGAAACCGAGUCUUAACUGGGCGUUAAGUUGCAGGGUAUAGACCCGAAACCCGGUGAUCUAGCCAUGGGCAGGUUGAAGGUUGGGUAACACUAACUGGAGGACCGAACCGACUAAUGUUGAAAAAUUAGCGGAUGACUUGUGGCUGGGGGUGAAAGGCCAAUCAAACCGGGAGAUAGCUGGUUCUCCCCGAAAGCUAUUUAGGUAGCGCCUCGUGAACUCAUCUUCGGGGGUAGAGCACUGUUUCGGCUAGGGGGUCAUCCCGACUUACCAACCCGAUGCAAACUACGAAUACCGAAGAAUGUUAUCACGGGAGACACACGGCGGGUGCUAACGUCCGUCGUGAAGAGGGAAACAACCCAGACCGCCAGCUAAGGUCCCAAAGUCAUGGUUAAGUGGGAAACGAUGUGGGAAGGCACAGACAGCCAGGAUGUUGGCUUAGAAGCAGCCAUCAUUUAAAGAAAGCGUAAUAGCUCACUGGUCGAGUCGGCCUGCGCGGAAGAUGUAACGGGGCUAAACCAUGCACCGAAGCUGCGGCAGCGACACUAUGUGUUGUUGGGUAGGGGAGCGUUCUGUAAGCCUGCGAAGGUGUGCUGUGAGGCAUGCUGGAGGUAUCAGAAGUGCGAAUGCUGACAUAAGUAACGAUAAAGCGGGUGAAAAGCCCGCUCGCCGGAAGACCAAGGGUUCCUGUCCAACGUUAAUCGGGGCAGGGUGAGUCGACCCCUAAGGCGAGGCCGAAAGGCGUAGUCGAUGGGAAACAGGUUAAUAUUCCUGUACUUGGUGUUACUGCGAAGGGGGGACGGAGAAGGCUAUGUUAGCCGGGCGACGGUUGUCCCGGUUUAAGCAUGUAGGCUGAUUGUCCAGGCAAAUCCGGAUAAUCAAGGCUGAGGUGUGAUGACGAGGCACUACGGUGCUGAAGUAACAAAUGCCCUGCUUCCAGGAAAAGCCUCUAAGCAUCAGGUAACAUCAAAUCGUACCCCAAACCGACACAGGUGGUCAGGUAGAGAAUACCAAGGCGCUUGAGAGAACUCGGGUGAAGGAACUAGGCAAAAUGGUGCCGUAACUUCGGGAGAAGGCACGCUGGUGUGUAGGUGAAGUCCCUGCGGAUGGAGCUGAGACCAGUCGAAGAUACCAGCUGGCUGCAACUGUUUAUUAAAAACACAGCACUGUGCAAACACGAAAGUGGACGUAUACGGUGUGACGCCUGCCCGGUGCCGGAAGGUUAAUUGAUGGGGUUAUCCGUAAGGAGAAGCUCUUGAUCGAAGCCCCGGUAAACGGCGGCCGUAACUAUAACGGUCCUAAGGUAGCGAAAUUCCUUGUCGGGUAAGUUCCGACCUGCACGAAUGGCGUAAUGAUGGCCAGGCUGUCUCCACCCGAGACUCAGUGAAAUUGAACUCGCUGUGAAGAUGCAGUGUACCCGCGGCAAGACGGAAAGACCCCGUGAACCUUUACUAUAGCUUGACACUGAACAUUGAGCCUUGAUGUGUAGGAUAGGUGGGAGGCUUUGAAGCGUGGACGCCAGUCUGCGUGGAGCCAACCUUGAAAUACCACCCUUUAAUGUUUGAUGUUCUAACGUUGGCCCCUUACCGGGGUUGCGGACAGUGUCUGGUGGGUAGUUUGACUGGGGCGGUCUCCUCCCAAAGCGUAACGGAGGAGCACGAAGGUUAGCUAAUCCUGGUCGGACAUCAGGAGGUUAGUGCAAUGGCAUAAGCUAGCUUGACUGCGAGCGUGACGGCGCGAGCAGGUGCGAAAGCAGGUCAUAGUGAUCCGGUGGUUCUGAAUGGAAGGGCCAUCGCUCAACGGAUAAAAGGUACUCCGGGGAUAACAGGCUGAUACCGCCCAAGAGUUCAUAUCGACGGCGGUGUUUGGCACCUCGAUGUCGGCUCAUCACAUCCUGGGGCUGAAGUAGGUCCCAAGGGUAUGGCUGUUCGCCAUUUAAAGUGGUACGCGAGCUGGGUUUAGAACGUCGUGAGACAGUUCGGUCCCUAUCUGCCGUGGGCGCUGGAGAAUUGAGGGGGGCUGCUCCUAGUACGAGAGGACCGGAGUGGACGCAUCACUGGUGUUCGGGUUGUCAUGCCAAUGGCACUGCCCGGUAGCUAAAUGCGGAAGAGAUAAGUGCUGAAAGCAUCUAAGCACGAAACUUGCCCCGAGAUGAGUUCUCCCUGAGACUUUAAGUCUCCUGAAGGAACGUU